rnacentral:rRNA from 1 species
UACGUAGGGUGCGAGCGUUGUCCGGAAUUACUGGGCGUAAAGAGCUCGUAGGUGGUUUGUCGCGUUGUUCGUGAAAACCGGGGGCUUAACCCUCGGCGUGCGGGCGAUACGGGCAGACUUGAGUACUGCAGGGGAGACUGGAAUUCCUGGUGUAGCGGUGGAAUGUGCAGAUAUCAGGAGGAACACCGGUGGCGAAGGCGGGUCUCUGGGCAGUAACUGACGCUGAGGAGCGAAAGCGUGGGGAGCGAACAGG